UACAGAGGUGCCGAGCGUUAGGCGGAAUCACUGGGCUUAAAGCGCGUGUAGGCGGGUCGUUAAGUGUCCGCGUGAAAUCCCACGGCUCAACCGUGGAACUGCCGGGCAUACUGGCGACCUUGAGGCACUUAGGGGCGAGCGGAACAAAUGGUGGAGCGGUGAAAUGCGUAGAUAUCGAGAGGAACACCUGCGGCGAAGGCGGGUUGCUGGGCUGACACUGACGCUGAUGCGCGAAAGCUAGGGGAGCGAACGGG
rnacentral:rRNA from 1 species